rnacentral:rRNA from 1 species
AGGUGAUAUGAACCGUUAUAACCGGCGAUUUCCGAAUGGGGAAACCCAGUGUGUUUCGACACACUAUCAUUAACUGAAUCCAUAGGUUAAUGAGGCGAACCGGGGGAACUGAAACAUCUAAGUACCCCGAGGAAAAGAAAUCAACCGAGAUUCCCCCAGUAGCGGCGAGCGAACGGGGAGGAGCCCAGAGCCUGAAUCAGUGUGUGUGUUAGUGGAAGCGUCUGGAAAGGCGCGCGAUACAGGGUGACAGCCCCGUACACAAAAAUGCACAUACUGUGAGCUCGAUGAGUAGGGCGGGACACGUGGUAUCCUGUCUGAAUAUGGGGGGACCAUCCUCCAAGGCUAAAUACUCCUGACUGACCGAUAGUGAACCAGUACCGUGAGGGAAAGGCGAAAAGAACCCCGGCGAGGGGAGUGAAAAAGAACCUGAAACCGUGUACGUACAAGCAGUGGGAGCCUCUUAAUGGGGUGACUGCGUACCUUUUGUAUAAUGGGUCAGCGACUUAUAUUCUGUAGCAAGGUUAACCGAAUAGGGGAGCCGAAGGGAAACCGAGUCUUAACUGGGCGUUAAGUUGCAGGGUAUAGACCCGAAACCCGGUGAUCUAGCCAUGGGCAGGUUGAAGGUUGGGUAACACUAACUGGAGGACCGAACCGACUAAUGUUGAAAAAUUAGCGGAUGACUUGUGGCUGGGGGUGAAAGGCCAAUCAAACCGGGAGAUAGCUGGUUCUCCCCGAAAGCUAUUUAGGUAGCGCCUCGUGAAUUCAUCUCCGGGGGUAGAGCACUGUUUCGGCAAGGGGGUCAUCCCGACUUACCAACCCGAUGCAAACUGCGAAUACCGGAGAAUGUUAUCACGGGAGACACACGGCGGGUGCUAACGUCCGUCGUGAAGAGGGAAACAACCCAGACCGCCAGCUAAGGUCCCAAAGUCAUGGUUAAGUGGGAAACGAUGUGGGAAGGCCCAGACAGCCAGGAUGUUGGCUUAGAAGCAGCCAUCAUUUAAAGAAAGCGUAAUAGCUCACUGGUCGAGUCGGCCUGCGCGGAAGAUGUAACGGGGCUAAACCAUGCACCGAAGCUGCGGCAGCGACGCUUAUGCGUUGUUGGGUAGGGGAGCGUUCUGUAAGCCUGUGAAGGUGGCCUGUGAGGGUUGCUGGAGGUAUCAGAAGUGCGAAUGCUGACAUAAGUAACGAUAAAGCGGGUGAAAAGCCCGCUCGCCGGAAGACCAAGGGUUCCUGUCCAACGUUAAUCGGGGCAGGGUGAGUCGACCCCUAAGGCGAGGCCGAAAGGCGUAGUCGAUGGGAAACAGGUUAAUAUUCCUGUACUUGGUGUUACUGCGAAGGGGGGACGGAGAAGGCUAUGUUGGCCGGGCGACGGUUGUCCCGGUUUAAGCGUGUAGGCUGGUUUUCCAGGCAAAUCCGGAAAAUCAA